rnacentral:rRNA from 1 species
AUACGUAGGGGGCGAGCGUUGUCCGGAAUGAUUGGGCGUAAAGGGCGCGUAGGCGGCCCGGUAAGUCUGGAGUGAAAGUCCUGUUUUUAAGAUGGGAAUUGCUUUGGAUACUGUCGGGCUUGAGUGCAGGAGAGGUAAGUGGAAUUCCCAGUGUAGCGGUGAAAUGCGUAGAGAUUGGGAGGAACACCAGUAGCGAAGGCGACUUACUGGACUGUAACUGACGCUGAGGCGCGAAAGUGUGGGGAGCAAACAGGAUUAGAUACCCUGGUAGUCCACACUGUAAACGAUGAAUGCUAGGUGUAGGGGGUAUCGACCCCUUCUGUGCCGCAGUCAACACAAUAAGCAUUCCGCCUGGGGAGUACGGCCGCAAGGUUGAAACUCAAAGGAAUUGGCGGGG